rnacentral:rRNA from 1 species
AUUGAACGCUGGCGGCAUGCUUUACACAUGCAAGUCGAACGGUAACAGGUCUUCGGAUGCUGACGAGUGGCGAACGGGUGAGUAAUGCAUCGGAACGUGCCCAGUCGUGGGGGAUAACGCAGCGAAAGCUGCGCUAAUACCGCACACGAUCUAUGGAUGAAAGCGGGGGACCGUAAGGCCUCGCGCGAUUGGAGCGGCCGAUGUCAGAUUAGGUAAUUGGUGGGGUAAAGGCCCACCAAGCCAACGAUCUGUAGCCGGUCUGAGAGGACGACCAGCCACACUGGGACUGAGACACGGCCCAGACUCCUACGGGAGGCAGCAGUGGGGAAUUUUGGACAAUGGGCGCAAGCCUGAUCCAGCAAUGCCGCGUGCAGGAAGAAGGCCUUCGGGUUGUAAACUGCUUUUGUACGGAACGAAACGGCUCUCUCUAAUACAGAGGGCUAAUGACGGUACCGUAAGAAUAAGCACCGGCUAACUACGUGCCAGCCGCCGCAGUAA